GUUUAAAGACUCUUAAGAUUAAACAUUGCAGAAGAUAACUUAACUUAAUACAAAGGUGUAAAAUGGGUUGCAGGCCGUAAGUGAUCUACUCAGGAUUCAUAUUUUAUACCUACUUGGUUAAUUGGUGGUUACAUGUAUUCACAGACCACGUUUUCUUUAAUGUGUAAAGGAAGCAUUCGAAAUGAAUUUGCAAUGAGAGAAACUACUACAAGACAUUGUUCCCGCAACGCUUGCAAAAUGUUGGUGUUGACAUCAGCUAUUCGCUCCAAAGCAAUGGCUUGCCGUUCACGAAGAAUAUUGGCCUCUUUCUCUGCUUUGAGCAGAUUUUCAGGUAGGGUUUCUGGGCUUGGACGCUUUCUUUUUCGUGAAGGUAAGGACAAAUAUGGGGAUGGUGAGAUGUUAACAGAAUUCUAGAAAUGAAAGGAGGCACUGGUGAACCUGACAUUGGUGGAGGAGAAGGAGGAGUUUCAGAGCCAGAUGGUAUGGCUGUUGGUACAACAAUGGGAGCUUUGGAGCCAGAUGGUAUGACUGGUGUUAUAACAGGAACAGAAGGAAUAUUCUAAAAAUGAGACUCCUUAUGGGUAACAACCCAUGUGAACAUCAAAUACGAAAUACCUACUUCUACUAUUGAAACAGAGGGAAACUCUGGAGUUUUCCCAUCACCACAAUAAUCUGGGCCAAUGAUGCUUAAAAUUCGGCACUCCAUUUCACUUAAACCAGAGAGAGUCGAAUCAUUUGAUGGCCCAGCACCUCCAGUCCUUUGCUGUUUUGCCUUCAGUUGUGCAGCUUUAGACUUAACGACUGACUUCCAGUCACUCCAACACUAAGUUUUAUAUUUAAAAAUUUAUAGGAAUAGGAGUACAAACCCGUUGCCAUUGUUUUCGAUCCUUCAUGGCACCUCCUGCCGCAUUUAGUUCAAUGGUUAGAUUACUCCACAGUUUUGAUACCAUGGCCGAAUCUGAAAUUUGACCCCUGGCAAAAGGCAAAUGGUCAUGCAUAAACUCCAGCAUUAUUGCCUUCUGUUGUUGUGAAGCCUUUGCAGUUCGCUUUGGCUCCAUCUAAAUAUCAGAAAUUCGUUUAAAUAUCUUUCUACAACUUAAUUAAACUGAAACUGUUCUUUAAAUAAAAAAAUGUUUAUGUUAAUCAUGUUUUAUUUAUAAUAUACACGAUAUGUUAAAUAAA